UUGACCUCAAAUCAGGCGGGACUACCCGCUGAACUUAAGCAUAUCAAUAA
rnacentral:rRNA from 1 species